rnacentral:lncRNA from 1 species
AUAUUGCAUACGAGUUACUCCUUCAAUCAUUCCCAAAUCAACAUAACUUGACAACCUACCAAUCCUUGAGCCGAAAUCCAACUUGGAAUCAAAAAACAAAGCUGUGAACUGAGGAAAAGAAGCUCAAACGCUGUUGCACCGUUACUGAGAUUUGAAACCCAAACAUGAUAACGGAUUUGCAAUCCAUUAAUUGAUAGAGAGUAAGAGAAAGAAGAUGGAAGGAGAGAAAGAAGAUGAUGUUUUGAUAUUGAUAAAUGGAUCUACAA